rnacentral:lncRNA from 1 species
UGUGAGAAAUGGAGACAGAGGGAUUGGAGAGAUGAAGAUGGGGGAUCCGUGGUCUCUGAAGCCCCCAAUGCUUGUGUGAGGGUGAGAGCUCAAGGUUCAGAAAUCCCAAGGAACCCAAGCAAGAUUUUUUACAAAGAAAGAAAUGUUCACCCAGAUACAGCCUAAUGAUACUUGUUUGCUUUUUCCAGUGAAGCUUUCCACCAGAAAAAAGGCAAAGAAGAUGGUUUUUCUGAUAAAGUCCCAUGAGAAUGCUCUGAUGACACUGGAAAAGCUUUCUUUCAUUCAUCCACCCACUGGUGACUUGGAAAAUAGCCUCUUCACCUUGAAACGAGAGAAUAAUGCUGAAUUUUUCUGAAUUUCUAAGAUGGGAAGUGAUGUAUCAGUAAAACGGUGAGCUCUCACUGAAACAGGAAAUCUUCUACCAGUGCGGGUCUGAGUUGAUCUCUCCCUCCCUCCCUCCAACCAUCCAAUACAUAUUU